AAGUCGUAACAAGGUGCCUCACGGAAGCCUUGCACGCCGAGUCUGCCUUCGGGCAGGCGACACCCGCCUGUAGCUGGAAGGUUCCCCCGGGUCUCCGGGGGCAACGAUCAGCUGCUGCACGCCCGGGGCGUGCAGUCCACAGAUCAAACGUGGGUGGCCUGCGCCCGCAGGUUGAGAUAUGACCGUAGCAGCUCCGCCAGGAGUCUGGUAUGCUAGUUCCGUAGGUGAACCUGCGGAAGGAUCAUUAUUGAGAGGGGGGCCUCGCGCCCCAGGGGCUUCGUGCCCCGCACCUUUCCACCCUUUGUGUAUCUUCCACUGUUGCUUUGGCGGGCCCCGGGGCUCACCCCCCGGCGCUGGCCCCCCGCGAGGGAGGUUCGCGAGCGCCCGCCAGGGGCCCAUUCCAACCUGUUGUAUCAGUGUAGUCUGAGUUGACGAGUAAUCAAUCAAAACUUUCAACAACGGAUCUCUUGGUUCUGGCAUCGAUGAAGAACGCAGCGAAAUGCGAUAAGUAAUGUGAAUUGCAGAAUUCAGUGAAUCAUCGAAUCUUUGAACGCACAUUGCGCCCUUUGGUAUUCCGAAGGGCAUGCCUGUUCGAGCGUCAUUACACCCCUCAAGCUCUGCUUGGUAUUGGGCGUCCGCCCCCCGUUCCCGGGGGGUGCGCCCGAAAUUCAGUGGCGGUCCAGGUGGACUUCAAGCGCAGUAAACUUUGGUUCGCUUUGGAAGCUUCUGCUGCGGCCCCGCCAGCUAAGAAACCCCCCCAAUCAUUGACCUCGGAUCAGGUAGGGAUACCCGCUGAACUUAAGCAUAUCAAUAAGCGGAGGAAAAGAAACCAACAGGGAUUGCCUCAGUAACGGCGAGUGAAGCGGCAACAGCUCAAAUUUGAAAUCUGGUCCUUCCGGGGCCCGAGUUGUAAUUUGCAGAGGAUGUUUCGGGCGCGGCGAACGGUCUAAGUCCCUUGGAACGGGGCGUCAUAGAGGGUGAGAAUCCCGUAUGCGACCGGCGACCAAGCCCAUGUGAAACUCCUUCGACGAGUCGAGUUGUUUGGGAAUGCAGCUCAAAAUGGGUGGUAAAUUUCAUCUAAAGCUAAAUACCGGCCAGAGACCGAUAGCGCACAAGUAGAGUGAUCGAAAGAUGAAAAGCACUUUGGAAAGAGAGUCAAACAGUACGUGAAAUUGUUGAAAGGGAAGCGCUUGCAUCCAGACCUGCCCGCGGGCGAUCAGCCGUCCCUUCGGGGGCGGUGUACUCGCCCGCGAUCAGGCCAGCAUCGGUUCGGGCGGCCGGAUACAGGCCUUGGGAAUGUAGCUUCUUUCGGGGAGUGUUAUAGCCCUCGGUGCAAUGCGGCCAGCCCGGACCGAGGACCGCGCUUCGGCUAGGAUGCUGGCGUAAUGGUUGUAAGCGGCC
rnacentral:rRNA from 1 species